UUCGCAAUGCCCGAAAGGGUGACGAAGCGACGCCGCGUGCGGGAAGAAGGCCUUCGGGUUGUAAACCGCUGUCGGGAGUUAAGAAAUGUAAGGAUGUUAAUAGCAUCUUUGCUUGACUAAGGCUCCGGAGGAAGCCACGGCUAACUCUGUGCCAGCAGCCGCGGUAAUACAGAGGCGGCAAGCGUUGUUCGGAGUUAUUGGGCGUAAAGAGCACGUAGGCGGCUAUGUAAGUCGGUUGUGAAAGCCUUCCGCUCAACGGGAGAACAGCAUCCGAUACUGCAUGGCUUGAGUGCGGGAGGGGAGAGUGGAACUUCUGGUGGAGCGGUGAAAUGCGUAGAUAUCAGAAGGAACGCCGGCGGCGAAAGCGGCUCUCUGGCCCAUAACUGACGCUGAGUGUGCGAAAGCUAGGGGAGCAAACGGGAUUAGAUACCCCGGUAGUCCUAGCCGUAAACGAUGGGCACUAAGUAGAGGGGUUUU
rnacentral:rRNA from 1 species